UUCCUGGUGGCUCAGAUGGUAAAGCGUCUGCCUACAAUAUAGGAGACCCGGGUUCGAUCCCUGGGUAGGGAA
rfam:TPA: Bos taurus chromosome 20, whole genome shotgun sequence.